rnacentral:rRNA from 1 species
AUAUUGGACAAUGGGGGCAACCCUGAUCCAGCAAUGCCGCGUGAGUGAUGAAGGCCUUAGGGUUGUAAAGCUCUUUCGGCGGGGACGAUGAUGACGGUACCCGCAGAAGAAGCCCCGGCUAACUUCGUUCCAGCAGCCGCGGUAAUACGAAGGGGGCAAGCGUUGUUCGGAAUAACUGGGCGUAAAGGGCGCGCAGGCGGCCCGUCAAGUCGGAUGUGAAAGCCCCGGGCUCAACCUGGGAAUUGCAUUUGAGACUGGCGGGCUUGAGGACGGGAGAGGAGAGUGGAAUUCCCAGUGUAGAGGUGAAAUUCGUAGAUAUUGGGAAGAACACCAGUGGCGAAGGCGGCUCUCUGGACCGUGCCUGACGCUGAGGCGCGAAAGCGUGGGGAGCAAACAGG